GAUGAAGAACGCAGCGAAAUGCGAUAAGUAAUGUGAAUUGCAGAAUUCAGUGAAUCAUCGAGUCUUUGAACGCACAUUGCGCCCCCUGGUAUUCCGGGGGGCGUGCCUGUCCGAGCGUCAUUGCUGCCCUCAAGCACGGCUUGUGUGUUGGGCCUCCGUCCUCCUCCCGGGGGACGGGCCCGAAAGGCAGCGGCGGCACCGCGUCCGGUCCUCGAGCGUAUGGGGCUUCGUCACCCGCUCUUGUAGGCCCGGCCGGCGCUUGCCGACACAUCAAUCUUUUUUCCAGGUUGACCUCGGAUCAGGUAGGGAUACCCGCUGAACUUAAGCAUAUCAAUAAGCGGAGGA
rnacentral:misc_RNA from 1 species